AUGCUUGCUAAACAAUCAUGGAAAAUUUUGAAUAACCAAAAUUCCCUCUGUUCACAAGUGUUGAGAUCCAAAUACUUUUCCGAUGUUAAUUUUCUGAAAGCAGGACCAAAGAUAGGUUCAUCCUUCACUUGGCAGAGUAUAGUGGCAGGAUUACAAACAUUUUGGCGAGGGCAUAUCUGGAGAGUAGGCCCGAGAACAAAAAUCAAUAUAUGGGAAGACCAUUGGGUGCCAAAUUCUCAUAAUAAAAAAAUCACUAAAAGAGGAAAUAUACUCCAGCAAACAGUGGAUGAACUAAUCAACCUGAACACUGGAGCUUGGGAUGAGGAGAUGAUAAACGAUGUAUUUUUGCCAGUGGAUGUUGAAAAUAUUAGGAGGAUUCCCUUGAGUGAGUUUUUAACAAAAGAUUUUGUAGCAUGGAAUAUGACAAAGACGAGCAUGUUCUCUGUCCGGUCUGCGUACUAUAUAGAAUGGAAUCAUCAAUUUGGAGCUCGAGCACGAAGAGAGGAUGGACAUGGAUCGUCCAUGAUGAACCCACUAUGGGAUAUUCUUUGGAAACUGAAGAUCCCAAGUAAAAUAAAAAUAUUCAUAUGGAAAGCACUACGUGGUACUAUCGCGUGCUAUGGGGUUCUCGCCUCGCGACACAUUCCGGUUUCUGGCCAGUGCCCUGUUUGUUCUUCAGGCUUGGAAAACAUACGUCAUCUACUCUUCACAUGCACUCGGCCUCACCAGCAAUGGCGAGCAUUAGGGUUGGAUGAGAUCAUCAAACAUGCAGUGCCCUCUAACCUCAUUGGAUGA
rnacentral:rRNA from 1 species